rnacentral:rRNA from 1 species
UACGGAGGAUCCGAGCGUUAUCCGGAUUUAUUGGGUUUAAAGGGUGCGUAGGCGGCCUGUUAAGUCAGGGGUGAAAUACGGUGGCUCAACCAUCGCAGUGCCUUUGAUACUGACGGGCUUGAAUCCAUAUGAAGUGGGCGGAAUAAGACAAGUAGCGGUGAAAUGCAUAGAUAUGUCUUAGAACUCCGAUUGCGAAGGCAGCUCACUAAGCUGGUAUUGACGCUGAUGCACGAAAGCGUGGGGAUCGAACAGG